rnacentral:rRNA from 1 species
GACGAACGCUGGCGGCGUGCUUAACACAUGCAAGUCGAACGGAAAGGCCCUGCUUUUGUGGGGUGCUCGAGUGGCGAAAGGGUGAGUAACACGUGAGUAACCUGCCCUUGACUUUGGGAUAACUUCAGGAAACUGGGGCUAAUACCGGAUAGGAGCUCCUGCUGCAUGGUAGGGGUUGGAAAGUUUCGGCGGUUGGGGAUGGACUCGCGGCUUAUCAGCUUGUUGGUGGGGUAGUGGCUUACCAAGGCUUUGACGGGUAGCCGGCCUGAGAGGGUGACCGGCCACAUUGGGACUGAGAUACGGCCCAGACUCCUACGGGAGGCAGCAGUGGGGAAUAUUGCACAAUGGGCGGAAGCCUGAUGCAGCAACGCCGCGUGCGGGAUGACGGCCUUCGGGUUGUAAACCGCUUUCGCCUGUGACGAAGCGUGAGUGACGGUAAUGGGUAAAGAAGCACCGGCUAACUACGUG